UCCUUCCACCAUGUUGUUUAGCCAUUAAGUUCCACUUUGAUGGUCUAACUCCAUAUGAAGGUAUGGGUGAGGGCCCUCUGCCUACAGGUGCUCUAACUCCAUAUGAAGGUAUGGGUGAGGGCCCUCUGCCUACAGGUGCUGCUGACAUUGGGUUUGAGUCCCUGCCACCUACAUCACCCGCGUCUCCCCAGGCCAGGUGAGUCGGCAGACGCUCUUGGUCUCUUUGGGAGCGGGAGACAACUUGUGUGAACAGAGGGGGAGAUAUGAG